AGAGAAUUGCUGGGUCAUGUGGUAACUCUGUAUUUAACAUUUUGAGGAACUGCUACCAAAUUUUUUCCACAGUAUCUGCACCAUUUUGCAUUCCCAACAGCAAU
rnacentral:pre_miRNA from 1 species